rnacentral:rRNA from 1 species
CCUGAUCCCAUCCCGAACUCAGCAGUGAAACGAUGCAUCGCCGAUGGUAGUGUGGGGCUUCCCCAUGUGAGAGUAGGACAUCGUCAAGA